rnacentral:rRNA from 2 species
UUGAUUGGUGCUUGCAUCAUGAUUUACAUUUGAGUGAGUGGCGAACUGGUGAGUAACACGUGGGAAACCUGCCCAGAAGCGGGGGAUAACACCUGGAAACAGAUGCUAAUACCGCAUAACAACUUGGACCGCAUGGUCCGAGUUUGAAAGAUGGCUUCGGCUAUCACUUUUGGAUGGUCCCGCGGCGUAUUAGCUAGAUGGUGAGGUAACGGCUCACCAUGGCAAUGAUACGUAGCCGACCUGAGAGGGUAAUCGGCCACAUUGGGACUGAGACACGGCCCAAACUCCUACGGGAGGCAGCAGUAGGGAAUCUUCCACAAUGGACGAAAGUCUGAUGGAGCAACGCCGCGUGAGUGAAGAAGGGUUUCGGCUCGUAAAACUCUGUUGUUAAAGAAGAACAUAUCUGAGAGUAACUGUUCAGGUAUUGACGGUAUUUAACCAGAAAGCCACGGCUAACUACGUGCCAGCAGCCGCGGUAAUACGUAGGUGGCAAGCGUUGUCCGGAUUUAUUGGGCGUAAAGCGAGCGCAGGCGGUUUUUUAAGUCUGAUGUGAAAGCCUUCGGCUCAACCGAAGAAGUGCAUCGGAAACUGGGAAACUUGAGUGCAGAAGAGGACAGUGGAACUCCAU